GUGAAGCUGGACUCCAUGUCACCACAUCCAGGAGCCCAAUGGACAGGUUCCAUAUGGCAAGGAACGGAAGGUUCCUUCCAAUAGGUAGCACAAACUGUGGCCCUGUGAAGACACAGUGAGAAGCCAGCCAUCUGCAAAGCAGGAAGAGGGCCCUCACCAAACAUCUGACCAUGCUGGGGUCCCGACCUCAGACUUUCAGCCUCUAGAACGUGUGAAGAUGCAGCGAAGCAGCACUAUCUAUGAAGCCGAGAGCAAGCCCUCAUCAGACACCAAAUCUGCUGCUGCCUCGAUCUUGCACUUCUGGUCUCCAAAAUGGUGAGCAAUACAUUUUUACUGUUUAUAAAUUACUCAGUCUGAGUUAUUUUGUUAUAGCAGUCUGAAUGGACUAAGACAAUCUUGAAAAGAUGUAGGCUAAUUUUUCUUAUGGCAUGUGGUAUUUCAUGGCAACGUCUUCGCAAAGCAGCUCUCAGAAAAAAGGAAAAUAGAAGAAAGGAAAGAGGCAUAUACAGAAAGUGGGCAAAACAUCUGUAUCAUGUCAUUCAAUUGGUUAAGAAACCUUUCC